CGAGAAAGCCCGCAAGGGUGAGUAAAGCGGCGCACGGGUGCGUAACACGUGGGUAAUCUGCCCUAGAGUCCGGAAUAACUCGCCGAAAGGCGUGCUAAUGCCGGAUGAGACCACGGGAGCCUCGGCUCCUGCGGGAAAAGGUGGCCUCUGUACACAAGCUAUCGCUCUAGGAUGAGCCCGCGGCCCAUCAGCUCGUUGGCGGGGUAAUGGCCCACCAAGGCUACGACGGGUAGCUGGUCUGAGAGGACGAUCAGCCACACUGGAACUGAGACACGGUCCAGACUCCUACGGGGGGCAGCAGUGGGGAAUCUUGCGCAAUGGGCGAAAGCCUGACGCAGCAACGCCGCGUGUGUGAUGAAGGUCUUCGGAUCGUAAAGCACUGUCGCGAGGGACG
rnacentral:rRNA from 1 species